CUAUGGUCAUAUCAUGUUAAAACCACUGGUUCCUGGAUGAUCUCAGAAGUUAAGCAAUAUUGAGCCUAGUCAGUGCCGAAAUGGGUGAUUACUUGGGAAUACCAGGUGCUGUAA